rnacentral:rRNA from 1 species
UUUUGUAUAAUGGGUCAGCGACUUAUAUUCUGUAGCAAGGUUAACCGAAUAGGGGAGCCGAAGGGAAACCGAGUCUUAACUGGGCGUUAAGUUGCAGGGUAUAGACCCGAAACCCGGUGAUCUAGCCAUGGGCAGGUUGAAGGUUGGGUAACACUAACUGGAGGACCGAACCGACUAAUGUUGAAAAAUUAGCGGAUGACUUGUGGCUGGGGGUGAAAGGCCAAUCAAACCGGGAGAUAGCUGGUUCUCCCCGAAAGCUAUUUAGGUAGCGCCUCGUGAAUUCAUCUCCGGGGGUAGAGCACUGUUUCGGCAAGGGGGUCAUCCCGACUUACCAACCCGAUGCAAACUGCGAAUACCGGAGAAUGUUAUCACGGGAGACACACGGCGGGUGCUAACGUCCGUCGUGAAGAGGGAAACAACCCAGACCGCCAGCUAAGGUCCCAAAGUCAUGGUUAAGUGGGAAACGAUGUGGGAAGGCCCAGACAGCCAGGAUGUUGGCUUAGAAGCAGCCAUCAUUUAAAGAAAGCGUAAUAGCUCACUGGUCGAGUCGGCCUGCGCGGAAGAUGUAACGGGGCUAAACCAUGCACCGAAGCUGCGGCAGCGACACUAUGUGUUGUUGGGUAGGGGAGCGUUCUGUAAGCCUGUGAAGGUGUACUGUGAGGUAUGCUGGAGGUAUCAGAAGUGCGAAUGCUGACAUAAGUAACGAUAAAGCGGGUGAAAAGCCCGCUCGCCGGAAGACCAAGGGUUCCUGUCCAACGUUAAUCGGGGCAGGGUGAGUCGACCCCUAAGGCGAGGCCGAAAGGCGUAGUCGAUGGGAAACAGGUUAAUAUUCCUGUACUUGGUGUUACUGCGAAGGGGGGACGGAGAAGGCUAUGUUGGCCGGGCGACGGUUGUCCCGGUUUAAGCGUGUAGGCUGGUUUUCCAGGCAAAUCCGGAAAAUCAAGGCUGAGGCGUGAUGACGAGGCACUACGGUGCUGAAGCAACAAAUGCCCUGCUUCCAGGAAAAGCCUCUAAGCAUCAGGUAACAUCAAAUCGUACCCCAAACCGACACAGGUGGUCAGGUAGAGAAUACCAAGGCGCUUGAGAGAACUCGGGUGAAGGAACUAGGCAAAAUGGUGCCGUAACUUCGGGAGAAGGCACGCUGAUAUGUAGGUGAAGCGACUUGCUCGUGGAGCUGAAAUCAGUCGAAGAUACCAGCUGGCUGCAACUGUUUAUUAAAAACACAGCACUGUGCAAACACGAAAGUGGACGUAUACGGUGUGACGCCUGCCCGGUGCCGGAAGGUUAAUUGAUGGGGUUAGCGGUAACGCGAAGCUCUUGAUCGAAGCCCCGGUAAACGGCGGCCGUAACUAUAACGGUCCUAAGGUAGCGAAAUUCCUUGUCGGGUAAGUUCCGACCUGCACGAAUGGCGUAAUGAUGGCCAGGCUGUCUCCACCCGAGACUCAGUGAAAUUGAACUCGCUGUGAAGAUGCAGUGUACCCGCGGCAAGACGGAAAGACCCCGUGAACCUUUACUAUAGCUUGACACUGAACAUUGAGCCUUGAUGUGUAGGAUAGGUGGGAGGCUUUGAAGUGUGGACGCCAGUCUGCAUGGAGCCGGCCUUGAAAUACCACCCUUUAAUGUUUGAUGUUCUAACGUUGGCCCCUGAUCGGGGUUGCGGACAGUGUCUGGUGGGUAGUUUGACUGGGGCGGUCUCCUCCUAAAGAGUAACGGAGGAGCACGAAGGUUGGCUAAUCCUGGUCGGACAUCAGGAGGUUAGUGCAAUGGCAUAAGCCAGCUUGACUGCGAGCGUGACGGCGCGAGCAGGUGCGAAAGCAGGUCAUAGUGAUCCGGUGGUUCUGAAUGGAAGGGCCAUCGCUCAACGGAUAAAAGGUACUCCGGGGAUAACAGGCUGAUACCGCCCAAGAGUUCAUAUCGACGGCGGUGUUUGGCACCUCGAUGUCGGCUCAUCACAUCCUGGGGCUGAAGUAGGUCCCAAGGGUAUGGCUGUUCGCCAUUUAAAGUGGUACGCGAGCUGGGUUUAGAACGUCGUGAGACAGUUCGGUCCCUAUCUGCCGUGGGCGCUGGAGAACUGAGGGGGGCUGCUCCUAGUACGAGAGGACCGGAGUGGACGCAUCACUGGUGUUCGGGUUGUCAUGCCAAUGGCACUGCCCGGUAGCUAAAUGCGGAAGAGAUAAGUG